AUACCCAAUAAGGAAACAGGAAAACCACUUGGAUGUUAACAAUACAAACAAGCUUUAAGCCAAGAACCCAAAACCAUACACCACCGGGAGUGGGUAAGACAAAUUAAAGGGGUUAACACAUCACCAUUCUUCUUGUUGUUUACACAGGACCCUGGACACACUGGAACUAAGGACACCACCAAGACCCCAGGACAUCAAAGGACAGGAACCACGAACAUGAACACCACGAUACUCAGGACAGGAUCAGUCUCCAUUUAAAGGGGUGAAUGAAAUCAACCCAGUUCUCUGGAUGAUAGUGAAAUGGAAGAUGGAAGGAAAGGAAGAUGUUGUGUCUUUACUGGAUAUGGAUAAAAGACAGAUUGGGGUUGUGCCAUCAUGACCUGGAGAAGGAUCAGUGGCAUCUCUAAGCUUCUCUGCCUUGGAAGACCUCUGUCAUCUACUGGCUCUCUUGUGUGAUUGCCAUAUGGACUAACACUUGUCAUAGGAAAUCUACAUGAGACAGUGGUAGAAAUACCAGUGGCAACUGGCUCCUUGUCUACACAAGAACUCCCAUUUCUGUGACCACCAGUAAGUUGCAUUGACACCAGAGAACCAUUAAACUAUUCUGUGUUGGGAAAACUCAGCCACAGGAGAACAAGUUUAUGCCAUGCCCACAACAAAGUCUAGCAAAAAGCUAUAAUAUUCUAAACAAUGCAUAUCAAGACCAUGGUUAAUAUAUUGCAUACAUGUAAGCAGCCUGCCAGUUGAAGAGACGCUGUGAUAAAUGAUGGGGGGGAACCUCCCUUUUAUAGACACCUAGCCAGCCAGUAGCUAUAAAAUCCCUCGUAGUAG